rnacentral:rRNA from 1 species
GUGAAAUGCGUAGAGGCAGCGGAGGGAAUAGUGAGGGGCCAGGGUUCAGUCGGCAUGACUGGACGCAGAUCGUGAACCGGCGGUUUGGCAAGACCAAGGUGAAAUCCCGUGGCUUUACUUGGGAAUUGCAUUGGAGACGGGACGGGUAGAGUGUGUGAGAGGGGGGUAGAAUUCCACGUGUAGCAGUGAAAUGCGUAGAGAUAUGGAGGAAUACCGAUGGCGAAGGCAGCCUCCUGGGAUAACACUGACGCUCAUGCACGAAAGCGUGGGGAGCAAACAGGAUUAGAUACCCGUGUAGUC